rnacentral:lncRNA from 1 species
GCUCUUAUCUAGAGAGAAAAGAACAACAUCAGAUUUAAUAGGUCAACUUUUGAUGCAGCUCUACUGUGCAGAGAAAUAGCCUUAUCAAUCCAUAUCCGAGGCCGAGACUGCAGGAAAUGGCAAGAUGGAUUGGUCAAGCUCAACAAAUAUCCUUAGCUCUAGUCACUAGGAAUGCUAUAAUGUACUUAGAGCAAAUUAGAACUUAGUAUAGGAAAUGAUGUAAAUG